rnacentral:lncRNA from 1 species
UUUUUUUUUUUUUUUUUUUUUUUAUAAAAACAAAGUUCAUUAAUAGCAUCCAGCACCACAAUUUGACUUAAAUCAUUGUAACAGAUGCAAUAGAUCUGAAAAUUAUAAAAAUUUUGUAAUUAUUUUUAAAUAGAUAAAUCACUACAACUCCCUUCUGUACAUAUUACAAUCGUCAGAUUUUAAGCAGGGGCGGAUUUAAGGUGGUGUCCCCACUGCCCCCCUUAAAUUCUUAUAAUUUUUAUACAAUUUUAACGUAAUUUUGAGUGUGCCCCCACUCCCCAAAUUUCCUUUCCUCCUCUGUCCCCAAUUUUCCCUCCCAAUCGACGGUUUCUCUUUCUUAAUCCAUCAUUUACUUCCUUUGUCUCCACUUCUCAAUUUCCCUUUCCUCCAUCAUUUAUUGCUCCUCUGGUUUCCCAUUUUCCCCCCAAAAGAGCCACAAAUCUAUUAGCACCGAACUUUGCUCAUAAGCACAUCCCAUCUGCCGUCCCACACUGAAUUGGAUAUUCUAAGUUGGAUAUUCUUGCACUUGACACUGAAUUGGAUACUUAUAUUAAUGACUUGAAAUCAGCUAAGGAAUUUCUCAAUUUAAGAAAAGUCUCUUAUCUAGCUCAAAGGUUGGUGGAGACUAAGAGAGAUAUUGUGUAUCCAUUGGUUUAUAUGCUUUUAAAGUUAGUUUUGAUUUUGCAUGUUGCUACAGUUACAGUAAAAAAAGCUUUUUCAGCUAUGAAUAUAGUGAAGAAUCGGUUAUGAAAUAAAAUGGGAGACACUUGGAUGAAUGAUUGUUUAGUUACUUAUAUUGAGAAAAAUAUACUUCGUGAAGUUCAAAAUGAGAAAGUCGUAAAUCGUUAUCAAAAUAUGAAAACUCGUCGUGAACAAUUGUAAAUAGUUUAGUUUGUUUUUAAAAUAAAAUUAUUAUUACAUUAAUAAUUUUGAAUUUGUCUUUUUAUGUUUUUCAUAGAAUAUACGUAUCAUUGUACUUGUUGGUGAAAUUUUAUUUUUUUUUUGCUUAAAAAACUAAAAAAAGAGCAGAUAAAAAAUUUUAAUGUUAUUUUUGCCAUCACUGAGAUUUUUUUCUGGGUCCACCACUGAUUUUAAGUUAAUGAUGAGAUCCGUCGAAAUAGAUUCAAGAUUCAAAAUAUGCAUACAAAUUGUCCUGAAAAUGUAUACAAAUUCAAAAUGAAACUCGUCAAUAUUUAAGUACAUUAAUUUCGCGUCGACAACUUGCAGGAGAUUUUUCAGCAGGGAAACCUAAUCAAAUUCUUUAGUGGCGUUUAAAUGUUCAGCACAAAUGACUCAACCUCAGAAGAACCGACUGACUUAUCUACUGCAUUCCUUGCACGUGCAUGCUGAAUUGGCGUUUAAAUUCUCGAAGCGACAUCUCCGCAGAACCCCUAUCUGCGACAACUGUUGAAUUAUUUAUUAAUGUCUCCUCCAAAAAAACUAAUCUAUCGUCUCUGUUGGGCUGUCAAUUGCCAAGUUCAACCUUAAUUAAACAGGUUUUCAUUAUCAUAAAAAAAUUAAACAGCUUUUAAUCUUGUUCUUUCUAGAUUUGGUCUUUCUUUGUUUGGUUUUUUCCAACAGUAAAAUCGCGACAAAUAAACUGCAAGUUGCAGAACUUGCAGCAUCAUCUGUUAACGGGUUGCCAUCUCAUGUGUCUUUUGAGUGAUUCGAGGCCGUCUUGCCUGUCAUCACUUACCUCCACUGACAGUCUGUUAAGUAAAAGAUUUAACAAACAUAUAAUUAUAAUAGUUGUGAUCAAAGAUCUAUCACCCAAAAUGCAAACCCAGUGAGUAUUUGUCCUUCAAGUGUGCGAGUAAGUUGUGAUUUCGGUGGAUUGUAAUUUGUUUAAUUGAUCUCACUAUUGUAGGUUACAUCUAACUUAUUAUUAAGAAAAAAAUAGAAAGACACAAUAUUCUAGGCAGAUUAAUGCUGUACAUUGAUUGGAUCUAAUAGUCUAAUUCUCCGUUUUUCCCCCUUACUUCUUAAAUUUAAUCUGAAAAUUUUUUUGAAAAAAGAAGGUCCGAAACCAAAUUUCCAUGGUAUGAAUCUUGAUUAUUGACUUCGUGGCAGCUAGAUUUCACCCGUGUACUAGCAUGGUAUUAGGGCUAUUUCAGUUCUUGCAACGGAGCCCAUUUUUCAACAUAAGAACAAAAGGUGGACAAAUUAUCCAUGUUGAAAUCCGUCAACAAACCACCAGCCUUUGGGUUGGUGGCCACCAUCAAGCCUUUAAAGCUUGGUGGGAUGGAAGGUAAGAGUUCACAUCAAUUGCCACAUUAAAAUGUGAAUUUGCUUUAAAAAAUUCAGGCGGGUGCAUAGUGCAUCCGUUUGAUCCGGUGGUGAUUCAGUCCCCUCCGAAUUACCGUUAGACCUCAUUAGAUUCAUUUCUCCCCUAGUGUAGGAUAGAUUAGGAUGUAUUGUAGUUGUCGCAUCCUAAAAAAAAAGAAAUCCGUCAACACGUGUGAGGUUUUGUUGGACCAUUCAACAAUUAUUAGCCAGGGAUGAUUUUUUUUUUCUUGGUCAAAAUUAUUAGGGAUGAUAGGUACAUCCAAAAUCUGCGCAAGUACCCCCACAAGUCCACUUUCUACAUCCUUCCAAGGAACCUUCUUCUUGUGUCCGACAUUUCUACCAAUCCGAUGCUCGCUCGAAAGUCCAGGAAAUUUCACAGCAAGCCUUGGAAAUAAAGACAGAUCCUCAUCCAACUUGCAUCAUGUGCGGCUGAAAAAGAUUAACCAUAGCACAUCAACUUUUUUGGCUACGGAAUAGUUGUUUAUUUCCUAAAGGCUAAAGGUCACCACCAUCUUUGGUCAAUGACCAACUAUCUAAGGCACUUCAAAUUCAGAAAACCAAACUGCUUUUGAAAAGCACUAAAGAUGAUGAAUAUCUGACCUAAAUGGUUCGUGGAAAACGAGCUAGCUAGCCAAGGAAUUGGGAUACUACUAUACAGUUGCCUUGAUCUUCUAGAGCAGGCGGCAGUACUUCUCAGGCCAACUACCCGGCGUGUUUACACACACCAACAAUAGAAAAUUUGCAAAUUGAUGUAAUUUCAUCUAGAAGGGAGACUAAUAUGUUCAAAGUUCUCAAAUUUGGGAAGGAUUAAAUCCACAUUGUUAUAUUCUAAAUCUACACAGCUAGCGGUGCAUUGAUAACUUGUACAAUUAACAUUAACAAUUUGUAUCAUUGCUAUCAGAACUUAAUGCGAGAUGUGUAUUUAAGAAAUUAGGAUGGACGGGUGUGGAUUUAACUCCUCCCUCUCUCAAUUUGUAAUUUUGUUGGGUUAAUUAUUAUUAUCAAGUAUCUACAGGCUCUUGACCCUUGCCUUGUGUGUACCGUAUACUUGAACUGACACGAGGGAUGAAAAGCAAAAUCUCCUCCACCAAAGCGAGCAAAAUUUUCCUUUCUUUAAUGAAGUUGCUCAUUAAUGCACAAAAAACCUUUACAAGACACAGGUUUACUAAAACAAGACCCUUACAUAUAUAUCAAGAGUAAACUUUAGAUUUAAAUUUGGGUACUGAUCGAUCAUCAUUCACAAGGUUGAAUUAUUUGGUCCACGUUCCACCGGGCAAAUUUUACGCAAUCGUGCCACUUGAUUAGUGUCGGUGACAAUUAUUUUUUUCCUUUUUAGAAAGGAGUAAUCAUGAUAGUUCUUCACUAAUUGGAAACCGUCCAGCUAUGUUUUCAGAACCGAACCGAGUAUCGACUCGGCCGAGGUCAGGGGUCAAUGGGUUCGACCGGGGAUCGAUAGGGGUCGAAUCGGAUGACGUCAUAAAUAAAAAUUAUUUAAAAAUUAAAAUAUUAUAUAUAAAAUAUAUAAUAAUAUGUUAAUAUUAAUAAAGGUAUAUUCAUAUAUAUUUGAUGUUUCAAAUAUAUUUAACAAGAAAAUACAAAGAAAUUAGAACAAUCAAGUAGCAAUGUUAUUUAAUAAAUAUUAACAAGUUUAGAAUUAAAAUUAUGAAUUUAAUUGAAAAAUAACAUCAAAUUUUAGGACAAUAUUUAUAAAAUAUGAAAUAUUUGAGGUAUAUUAAUAAGUUUUAACAAUUUAGGGGGCCAAAACAUAAUAUUAAAAAGAUUGAGUUUUUUUUUUUAAAAAAAGCCCAUUGAACCGGAAAAAUCGGUUUUUUCCCGGUCAAACCCUGUUUUUGACCGGGCUUUAAAUUUCUGGUUUUUUACCAUGACUCGGACCGAGCACUUGGCCGGUUCUCGGUUCGACCAGCCAGUCCGAUCCGAGUUUCAAAACACAGUCGUCCAGCAUAAUUUGUUUGAUAAAAAAAAAGCUGCAUCAAUAGUAAAAAAGUUAUAGAACACAUCAUAGAUGUAUCGAAUUUGAAAAUUCAUUACAUUUAACAGAGUCACGAAACAAGAAGAAAGAUACCCUUGGUUAGGGGUCAAGUUGUGAGACUCUGCAUUGAAUAAGCAGCAUGCCCUUGGUUAGUUUCUUGAUGCGUAUUAGAUAGAUGUCAUCUUAUCCAGAGCAUGCCUUGGGAUUUUUAAAAAAGUAACCACUCAAUGCCUGCUGAGAAUUUACAUGUCUAUGGAUGGAACAGGGAAGAGAUCAACUAGUACUUUCAGUUAAUUAGUUUAACGAUGCUUUCCUUGUCAACGUAUUCCUCUCCUCUUCUCUUGUCUGCUUUUGCGAAUUACUACUACAAAAUAUAUCAGGCGGCUGUGCUGUGUCGGAUUAUUCAUGUGAAAUCUAUCCCACCACAUACUAUAAUUGUACUUCUACUCUAUUUCUGUUACCACUUGAUGAGCGAUGGUACAGGACAAACUCUUGCGCACCCACUGACCUAUUUCCUCUAUAAUUGACAUAAAAUAUAUGGAAAUUUUGCUGUAGCCUGAGGUGCUACAAGCAAUAAACUUUUGAGCGACCGGCUCUGUGUGUGCGCGUGCUCGCGCAUAUAUGUAUAUGUUAUAUACAAAACAAAGAUCUUCAGAAAUUUUAGGCCUAUGGAAUUGAAUGUGCACUUCAAUGAAAAAAAGAAACUUUAUGUUUUGGUAUUUUCCUGUUUAUGGAACUAAAAGAAUUUGUUGAAGUCUUGAAAUUAAUGAUGCAGUAAAAUUACAAGUCAACUGCUGGUCUGCUAGUACAUGUUGGGGUCACAAGCUGCUGAAGGGUGGUAGUCGGCCUAACGGAUAUGGAUACGGAUAUGCUUCCGAUACAAUUGUCGUUAAUUGUGUUUCGUACAAUCAGGAUGGCACGUCCAGCCAAACUUGAAGCUGCGACUAGGGUUAAAGGAUAUGCAUGAAACAUUAAAAAUUAGCAGCUUGUUAUUAUAGACUACUCUAAUGGUAUAGAGAUAGUUUGACUUUAAAAAAAGUUUUUUUUUUUGUUUAGUAUUUCAAAGAUUUUAACUACUGUAAACAUAACAUUUUCUUGAACUUGGAAAUAAAAAGUUACAGGGAAGUAAGUGACAAAUGGAAAAAAAAAAAAAAAGUUGUGGAGAAUUAAGCAGGUGAUUUCUUCAAUUGCACGCGCAUGCUACCAUAUUGUGGUCUAAAAAGUAAAAGGUGGAUGAUGAUGUGACUGCAAAAUCUAUUUUUCCUGAUACAACUCAACGUAGUUAGUUAAUUUAUUGUGUUUAGUUCACUAAGCAUUUGUCAAGCGAAGCAGAAAUAUGCUUGAAGGAACCCCUAACUAAUAAUAAAGACACUUUUUUAAGCACAAAGGAGACAGGUCGAUUUAAAGCUUUAUUUCGUCUAAACUUCCCAAAGUUACGAUAAUCCAAUCUGGUAAGUGGUACUUGGAAUGAUGUGCAGGAAAGGGAAAGGAAGGAAGAUGACAAAAACCAAUUUGGAGCUCCAUCUAACAGUUAGUUAGAUGCAAAACCAGCAAAUCUGGCCCUUAGCCAAGAAAUUUCAAACAUAGGAUGUGAAAGUACAUUGCCUGAAGUCUCGUAUUGCCUACGGAUUUCAUCUCCAAGGAAUGCUAUCAAUAUGGACAGGCAUAAUCAUCAGAAUUAUAAAGUUUGAUCGCCUCUCUACAUCAUGAGUCGCCUUUGGUCCUUUAACUUUAGUGUCAUACUUUCUUCACAACCGCCAAAAACAAAUAGCAAAUCACAAAAAAUCGCAAGCGGCGCUAUAGCCCAAGUUGAAAACGUGGUCAAUUAUUAUUUAGGGAUGGGUUAAAUCCAUGCUUCUAAUGCAUUAAUAACUUAUAUCACGAGCGCUGAUAACUCGCACCAUUAGCAUUAAAAACCCUACCAGGUGUGGAUUUAAAUUGUAUGGGUGCGGAUUUAGUAUCAUCGAUUAUUUAUUAAACUUGAAUGCUCGUUUGGAUUGUUAUUUUUUCCAAAAAAGUUUUACAUUUUUCAUGAACAAAUUUUUCAACCACCUUUUUAUCUCUAAUAUACAUCACAUCGCUACGGCACAUUUUCAAAUGAUUAUUGAACCCUCACAUUUUUGUUUGUUGCACCAUUCUAGUCUAUAAAAAGUAAACAUGCGAUUUUUUAUAUGAAUCAUUGAAUGUUUGUUUGAAUUGCUAUUUUUCUCUACAAAAUUUUUACGUUUUUUAUGAACACAUUUUUCAAUCGUCUUUUUUUCUCACAUACAUCACAUUUUUCAAUCGUCCUUUUUUCUCACGUACAUCACGAGUCUAGUCUUUAAAAAGUCAACUUUUCAAAUGAUUAUUGAACCCCCGCGUUUUCAAUUGUUAUACCAUUCUAGUCUUUAAAAAGUAAACUAUUGAUUUUUGAUAUCAAUAACGCAGUUUAAAUCUGGGUGAGAACGUUUAUCUUCGUACAAUUUUUAGCUUCCAUAGCCAAAGACAAAUACCAAAUGGCUACGAAGACAACUUUCGUAUUUUCUUACAACCAAAAAAAAAAAAGCCAAUUUCUUGCUUUCCCAUUCCAUUUGUACAGCACUCAAGUCAUCUCUAUGCGUUCAGUUAAGAAACAAAAAACAUACCAAUACGCUUUCCAUUUCAGAUUCUGGAAAACGGAGCAUGUCGUAGGACUCUCUCGUUUCUACCACAGCUACCAAUCAACAGCAGUAGCGACUAUAUAACCUAAAAGACGCAACUUUCUGAAGAACCAUCCCAACUAUUAGAUCAGUCUGCCGCCAGAGGGGGCAAUAAGCUUUAGUACUUACACAUCACUUGCUCAAAACAUAACGGGCUCUCUUCUGUACAACGCGGCGUGUAAUUUAGCCUUCAACCACAGUACAAUCAUUUCGGAAAACGGCGCCUGCUCUCCCUCUAAGUACAAGGUGACGAGUUAAACACUGAGGCCGGCGAUGACCCAGCUAACUGAUUUCGACACAAAUCGACACUCAUCUUGCUUGGAGGGGCUUGUGUUGACUUAGAAUAUUUAUACAUAGCAUCUUCCGUAAAACUAUAGGCAAUCAUGACUUCAAGCUGGAAUGACCAGCAAAAACCUUGGCUUCAAACAGCUAGACAGAACAUAUACCACAAAAUCACAAAUCAAAGGAGAAAUAGGUACCUGGCCAAAGAUAUGAUCUAUUACUUCCCUAACUGCUUCAAUAACUCAUUCCACGAAUUUAGAUGGUCAAUGGAAAAACAAGCAGACAGCGGCAGAGUAUUAUCCAAUCACCCGUUCAGGAAUAUUACAAGGCUACCAGGCUUAUCUAAGACAGCAUCAGUCCAAAUACCAUUCUAGAUAGCAACAUUCAACAAAUUUACCAAAUUGCACAAACAAGUCAUAUUUCAAUAACGAUCAAAGGAAGGGGGCCGU